UGGGGAAUUUUGGACAAUGGGGGAAACCCUGAUCCAGCCAUCCCGCGUGUGCGAUGAAGGCCUUCGGGUUGUAAAGCACUUUUGGCAGGAAAGAAACGUCGCGGGUUAAUACCCCGCGAAACUGACGGUACCUGCAGAAUAAGCACCGGCUAACUACGUGCCAGCAGCCGCGGUAAUACGUAGGGUGCAAGCGUUAAUCGGAAUUACUGGGCGUAAAGCGUGCGCAGGCGGUUCGGAAAGAAAGAUGUGAAAUCCCAGAGCUUAACUUUGGAACUGCAUUUUUAACUACCGGGCUAGAGUGUGUCAGAGGGAGGUAGGAAUUCCGCGUGUAGCAGUGAAAUGCGUAGAUAUGCGGAGGAACACCGAUGGCGAAGGCAGCCUCCUGGGAUAACACUGACGCUCAUGCACGAAAGCGUGGGGAGCAAACAGGAUUAGAUACCCUGGUAGUCCACGCCCUAAACGAUGUCAACUAGCUGUUGGGGCCUUCGGGCCUUGGUAGCGCAGCUAACGCGUGAAGUUGACCGCCUGGGGAGUACGGUCGCAAGAUU
rnacentral:rRNA from 1 species